rnacentral:rRNA from 1 species
UACGUAGGGUCCGAGCGUUGUCCGGAAUUAUUGGGCGUAAAGAGCUCGUAGGCGGUUUGUCGCGUCUGCUGUGAAAUCCCGAGGCUCAACCUCGGGCCUGCAGUGGGUACGGGCAGACUGGAGUGCGGUAGGGGAGAAUGGAAUUCCUGGUGUAGCGGUGGAAUGCGCAGAUAUCAGGAGGAACACCGAUGGCGAAGGCGGUGCUCUGGGCCGGUACUGACGCUGAGGAGCGAAAGCGUGGGUAGCAAACAGG